CACACACUGGAUUCCCAAGUCCUUCCAGUCAGGGUUCAACACUGAACACAGGACACUUACCAUGGACUUAAGGCCCAUAUUAAUUUCCUUUAUUCUUAUUUUAAAAGGUGUCCAGUGUGAAGUGCAGUUGCUGGAGUCUGGGGGAGACUUAGUGCAGCCUGGAAAGUCCCUGAAACUCUCCUGUGCAGCCUCUGGAUUCACCUUCAGUAGCUACUGGAUGAGCUGGGUCCGCCAGGCUCCAGAGAAGGGGCUGGAGUGGGUCGCAACCAUACGUUACGAUGGUGGUAGCACCUACUAUACUGACGCUGUGAAGGGCCGGUUCACAAUCUCCAGAGACAAUGCCAAGAACACUCUGUACCUGGAAAUGAGCAGUCUGAGAUCUGAGGACACAGCCAUGUAUUACUGUGCAAGAGACACAGUGUGCGAGUUGAACAUGAGUAGUGAGAUUCCAGCACAUGCUGUGAUUCAACUACACAGUAGUCUUGAAAAUGUCAUGGAGUCCAGACUCAGAAUAGGGAUCACCAACUGA